CAGGCGGACUGCCUGAGCGAAGGGACAGCUCUGGUAGCGAUUUCCCUUGUGGGGCGAUGACAGUCUAUUUCUAUGGCCUGACCAAUCACAGAGGCUUAGGAAGAGCUCAGCACUCAGCAUGGUGGCAGUCAUGACUGCUGUCAUCCCAGCAUGUACAAGGCAGAGGCAAGAGAAUCGGGAGUUCAAGAAGACAGGCUGCCUUUGUGUCAAGAUGUAGAACUCUCAGCUCCUCCUCUAGCACCAUGCCUGCCUGGAUGCUGCCAUGUUCUCACCUUGAUGAUCCUGGACUGAACCUCUGAACGGGUGAGCCCCUUAUGAAAGGGUCAUUUGACCCACAGACUAAGAAGUGAUAUUUAAGCAGAGACUUGUCAGCAAAGUGAGAGAGGAAGACCGCUGAAGGAAGAAUUCGCGAUACAAGUUUUAAACCUGUGUCCACAUUCAACAAAGUAAGGUGACAAGACCCUUGAAGAGAAAGAAAGAAAGAUGAAAUAAAGAGAGAA